AACGCACAUUGCGCCCUUUGGUAUUCCGAAGGGCAUGCCUGUUCGAGCGUCAUUAUCACCCCUCAAGCCCCGUGCUUGGUGUUGGACGGCCGGUUGAGCGAUCGACCCCUCCGAAAGACAAUGACGGCGGCCUGUGGUUCCCCCGGUACACUGAGCUUUUCACCGAGCACGUACCGGACGAGGGCACCCGGGACCCGGUCCUCUCCUUUCACUAGGAAACUUUUCAAGGUUGACCUCGGAUCAGGUAGGAAUACGCGCUGAACUUAA
rnacentral:misc_RNA from 1 species